CUCAGGCAGCGCAGCAAGCGCGGCAGCAGUAGGCGCGCCCAGGGGCCCUGGAAAGCGGUGGGGUCGGCGGCAGGGCCUGGCUCCUCCAGCGCGCGCCGCAGGGCCUCCAAGGCGCGCCGCCGGCCCGGCUUGCUGUCGGCCUCCAGCCCCGGCAGCAGGCGGCUCAGGGCGCGGCUCAGCUCCACCGCCUCAGCCGUCUCGGCCCCCUCAGCCGGGUGUGGGGCCGCCACGGCCUCCGCCACCCCCAGCGCCGCCAUCUUGCCCGCGUCGCCGGUCACUAAGGGGAACAGCGCUUUCGCGACUCUCAGCGCAGAUUACGGCAGCACUUCCGGUCCGCGCUGCGGGCGGGGCGCCGGGCUACUUCCUCCCCGCCGCUCAGGGAGCAUACGGACGUUGCGCAGUGAAUGCAGCUGGCUGGGGAAGGCUCAGGAACCGCACCCAGGAAGCCCACCUACAGAUCCCACCUCAAACCACGACAUGCUGCAGCCUCCCCAGUGGCCAGAGCAGCUUAACAAAGCAUCUUUGUUUCCUUUCUGCACCCCAGAAAAUAGCUGUGUUGGUCUCUUCGCCAUGCAGAGUGAAUAAAGAAUAAGACAAACACC
rnacentral:lncRNA from 1 species